AGUCCUGCUUCUGCGUUUACUUUUAGUUCUAGAAAUUUUCACUAGUGUUUGGUGUUGGCUUAAAUAGACCAGCAUUCUGCCCUGUAGAGGGAGACUAUGUUGGACCGAGUCAUGUUCGAAAUGACAUGAGACUGGGUGGACGGAAUCAUGUUCGAAGUGGUGUGAGACUGGUUAGGCCGAAUCACAAUCAAGAUCCGUGGGCGCUGUAUCUAUACCCUUUAAGUGAAUUGGUUGCGUAUUUCUACCAGCUCGAGUUUUUAGGAUUAAUAAUUAGCACCAACGAUCCGACAUUCGGUUGACUAGGUAUUGAGUCAUAUCUUACGUUAUUAGAUAAAAUUUGUUGGAAUGAAAGUAUAUAGAGAUAUGCUUCUGUAUUUUUCCGGUAAAACCGUAAUAACCGACUGAUCGACGGAACACAAUAUUACAUACAAAAAUAAAUAAAUAGGAUAAUUUUUUAUUGCAUUUUCUCACUGUACGUAACGCAAUCUUCCAGCAAUCCCAAAUGAAGCCUAGAAAGGUCGGUAUUUUGCUGUAUCAUAAAUCUGAAAUGCAAUUUUGUUCCAAAACCGAAAACUCACUAAC
rnacentral:lncRNA from 1 species